CCUACGGGAGGCUGCAGUGAGGAAUAUUGGUCAAUGGGCGAGAGCCUGAACCAGCCAAGUCGCGUGAGGGAGUACUGCCCUAUGGGUUGUAAACCUCUUUUGUCGGGGAGCAAAAGCCGGACGUGUCCGGCUGUGAGAGUACCCGAAGAAAAAGCAUCGGCUAACUCCGUGCCAGCAGCCGCGGUAAUCAGGAGGAUGCGAGCGUUAUCCGGAUUUAUUGGGUUUAAAGGGUGCGAAGGCGGAUUUUUAAGUCAGCGGUAAAAUCGUGGGGCUCAACCCCAUCCAGCCGUUGAAACUGGGGAUCUAGAGUGUGCGAGAGGUAUGCGGAAUGCGUGGUGUAGCGGUGAAAUGCAUAGAUAUCACGCAGAACCCCGAUUGCGAAGGCAGCAUACCGGUGCACAACUGACGCUCAGGCACGAAAGCGUGGGUAUCGAACAGGAUUAGAUACCCUAGUAGUC
rnacentral:rRNA from 1 species